AUUGAACGCUGGCGGCAGGCCUAACACAUGCAAGUCGAACGGUAACAGGAAGAAGCUUGCUUCUUUGCUGACGAGUGGCGGACGGGUGAGUAAUGUCUGGGAAACUGCCUGAUGGAGGGGGAUAACUACUGGAAGCGGUAGCUAAUACCGCAUAACGUCGCAAGACCAAAGAGGGGGACCUUCGGGCCUCUUGCCAUCGGAUGUGCCCAGAUGGGAUUAGCUAGUAGGUGGGGUAACGGCUCACCUAGGCGACGAUCCCUAGCUGGUCUGAGAGGAUGACCAGCCACACUGGAACUGAGACACGGUCCAGACUCCUACGGGAGGCAGCAGUGGGGAAUAUUGCACAGUGGGCGCAAGCCUGAUGCAGCCAUGCCGCGUGUAUGAAGAAGGCCUUCGGGUUGUAAAGUACUUUCAGCGGGGAGGAAGGGAGUAAAGUUAAUACCUUUGCUCAUUGACGUUACCCGCAGAAGAAGCACCGGCUAACUCCGUG
rnacentral:rRNA from 1 species